AUGGCGGUGGCGUAUCGCGCGGAGGAGGAGUACGACUACCUGUUCAAGGUGGUGCUGAUCGGGGACAGCGGCGUGGGCAAGUCCAACCUGCUGUCGCGCUUCGCCAGGGACGAGUUCAGCCUCGACACCAGGUCCACCAUCGGCGUCGAGUUCGCCACCAAGACCGUCCGCGUCGACGGCAAGCUCGUCAAGGCGCAGAUCUGGGACACCGCCGGCCAAGAAAGGUACCGGGCCAUCACCAGCGCGUACUACCGGGGCGCCGUGGGCGCGCUCGUGGUGUACGACGUGACGCGCCACAUCACGUUCGAGAACGCGGAGCGGUGGCUGACGGAGCUCCGCGACCACACGGACGCCAACAUCGUGGUGAUGCUGGUCGGGAACAAGGCGGACCUGCGCCACCUGAGGGCCGUCUCGCCCGAGGAGGCCAGGGCCUUCGCGGAGCGCCACCGCACCUUCUCUAUGGAGACGUCCGCGCUGGAGGCCACCAACGUGGAGGAUGCCUUCACGGAGGUGCUCGGCGAGAUCUACCGCGUCGUCAGCAAGAAGGCCCUCGACAUUGGCGACGACCCCGCCGCGCCGCCCAGGGGCAAGACCAUCGACGUUGGUGGCAAGGACGACGUCACCCCAGUGAACACGGGUGGCUGCUGCUCGGCCUAG
rnacentral:rRNA from 1 species